UUUUAAAGAAUUGUUGAUAUUUUUCUUGGAAAAAAAGGAACUGCCGAAUAGGAUGCUUUCAAAGUUACCACUUUUAGAAGAUUUUUAUGUUUAUCUUCUUCUAGAUUCCUUCAUUAUUACAUGUCUAAAUUUUCAAGAUUUUGUCAUUAGUACUUUAUAGGUAGAACGCCAUUUCUCAUAAGUACUAUACUUAUCGCAAUAGCUAAAAAGGAAAAAAGAUUGUCAAGAACAUUUUUGAAUUAUACAAAAUAAUUACUAAAAGUAGUACAAAUCUCACACUGCACGAGAAAGCUCAACAAAAUUAGAUCCGAACGUAUGAGGUUAAUUACUCGGUAAUGUCUGUUUAACGUUAUUAUUUUUUGUUUUAAUUUGCUUCCUCCUCCUAGCUUUUCCUCUGAUGCCUCUUCUGGCACUGAUUGAUUAUUAUUUUCGGUUUUGAGGCACCGUAAUUAUACGACACUCUUUAAAAGUGAAAUUUUACAAAACAACUAGCCAGUAUCAUAAUAUAGUUAAUUAUUACCUUCGUGGUGCAUAUAAUUAAACGUCUAAACAGUAACACAAUAUACAUGUUUGACAUGUAUAAAUACAGAUAAUUUGGCAAAACAAAAGAAAGAAGACUAGUAGGUUGCGUAGAGCAUUAAAAUUCAAUCAAAACCGCGUAUCAACAUAGGAUCUCAUCUCAUCAGGAAUCAGGAUCAUUGUCAUGGGUCCUCCUUUAGCCCUCUUCUAUAGACCCACUCUCAUUGCACUUUUCUCUUUUCAAUUACAUUUCUACGUGUCCGAACCAGUUAACCCCACUCGAUGUUGUUGCCUCCCCCCUCAUCGAGUGAUCCAUCCGAUCAUGUGGCGUUGCUUAAUCCCUUCAUCCAAUCUGCUCCACGUCAUUUAUGCUAUCCAUGAUCCACUCCGUAGCUAUUUACAAUUAAAUACCUAAAGUAGUUGAGGCAAGUUUGAUAAUUUGGUUGCUUAUAUCUUUACACAACCAACUUCAUCUUCAACAACAGCUUGAGAAGGAAGCUCUUCUAUUAGACAUCAAAUUUAUUUUAACUCUGGUUCUGCCUCAUACUUCGUUCCUUAUUUCUCAAGUCUUAACACAUUUUCGCUACCAAUGUUAUCCUGGCCAUGUCUAAUUAAGAAAUAUAUAUUUCGGGGGAGUGUAUUUGUGAAAGGAGAAAAAUUAGUGUUCCCCGUCACUUGGCAUAAAUCAAUUUCUACCAUUUGUUGUUAGAUAAAAGCCUUCUAACAUGUUAAAAUUGCGAUUAUUUUCUUCAAUUCACAAGCAAGAUUAUUAAAUAUUUACAUAAAUGUUUUGUGGUUUAUCUUUAUGAAGUUACUUGUGGCUUUGAGAUCAAUUUUUUUUUUAUAUAUCCGAACAUUCUUGAUAUUAUAUUGGAUGCUCAAGAUGUUUGACAAAAUUUAUACCCUAUUUUAACCUAUAAAAGAUUGAAAAGAACGAGCAUUCAUGACAUGUACAUGCCAUAGACAUGAAACCACCACAACAAUACUGGCAUAUUAAGCAUAACAUUUUACAUACUUCGGUUUUAUGUCAUAUCAGAUAUAAUUUUUAUGUUAAGUAGCUGACUAGCCUUAUUUUUUUCAUUUGAUAGAGGGUUAGACAGUUCCUUUAUAAAUCUGCAUUUGAAUUGCAAGAAGAAGAAUUCAAUGUGUGUUUUCCAUUGUCCAGUGUGGUUGUAAUUUUAACGUAAGGGUUAAAUUUCUUAAGAAGUCAUAAAUUUGGAAGAAUGGAACUAUCCGUGCGUAGCACCUUGGGUAAUACUAGUAACCUAUACUAUAGCUGUUUUCGUAUCAAUUAUUGAAAAUUGAUACCUAUGGCCUAUCCGCUUGAAUCGAGCUCGAUCUUCUGUAGCUGCCUAAUUGAUUCAAACUACUCAGGUCUUGGGCGACUCUGGUCGUAUGAUUUACUCGAUAUUAGGUUCUAGAAAGAAUUUUUACCAGAUAACUUACGCUCACCCAUAAUUAGUUAGGCACUCUGAUAAUCACAUGGUACUAACUGAAAAGACUUUUGCCGCCUAAACAUGCAUUUUUCAAUGUCUCGAGAAGAGUUUGUUGAUAUCUUUGAAUGUAAAGUUCUGGCCAGACGAAAGGGAGGAAUUACAGACGGUUAAGAAGACCUCAACUAGAGGAUGCUUUAGCUAAUUAGCUUGUGGACCAUUUUCACGACGGGUACUACCUUUAUCUUUUUCUUUUGUAACCACUAUGAGAGAGUAAAUGAGAUCUUACAGAAGAAACGUAAGAGUAUAUGCAUAUCUUAAAAUUGCGACGCCGACGUGGGCAUUGUAUGUUGGAUUUUGUAGUAAAAUGUUGUUUUUGA